GACGAACGCUGGCGGCGUGCUUAACACAUGCAAGUCGACAUGAGUGGCGCACGGGUGAGUAAUACGUGGGUACCCUGCCCUCCUUUUUCGGAUAAGCCUUGGACACGUGGUCUAAUACCGAAUACAGGGGGAUGGGCUCGCGGCCUAUCAGCUUGUUGGUGGGGUGAUGGCCUGCCAAGGCGGUGACGGGUAGCGGGCCUGAGAGGGGGAACGGGAACAGGGGGACGGAGAAAAGGCCCAGAGUAGUACGGGAGGGAGCAGUGGGGGAGAUUGAACAAUGUGAGAAAGCCUGAUGCAGCGAGGCUGCGUGGGGGAUGAGGGCUGUCGGGUUGUAAACGUGUGUAGCUAGCGAACGGGUAGGUGGAGAAGAAGCGCCGGCUAACUACGUGCCAGCAGCCGCGGUAAUUC
rnacentral:rRNA from 1 species